UACGAAGGGGGCUAGCGUUGCUCGGAAUUACUGGGCGUAAAGGGCUUGUAGGUGGCCAACUAAGUCAGACGUGAAAUCCCUCGGCUUAACCGGGGAACUGCGUCUGAUACUGGAUGGCUGGAGUGUGGGAGAGGGAUGCGGAAUUCCAGGUGUAGCGGUGAAAUGCGUAGAUAUCUGGAGGAACACCGGUGGCGAAGGCGGCAUCCUGGACCAUUACUGACACUGAAAAGCGAAAGCCAGGGGAGCAAACGGG
rnacentral:rRNA from 1 species